rnacentral:snoRNA from 1 species
UCUGCCCUGAGAAGCAUUGCAGAUCAGUAGGUGGCAAAGAGGAGAGAGGAUCUGUCCACAGUCAGUGUUCUGACCUAUCAACAUCACAAUGACAAUUAGCCUAAUAUU